rnacentral:rRNA from 1 species
UUUAACAAAGAGAAGCAAAGCCGCGAGGUAGAGCAAAUCUCAAAAAAACAAUCUCAGUUCAGACUGCAGGCUGCAACUCGCCUGCACGAAGUCGGAAUUGCUAGUAAUCGUAGGUCAGCAUACUACGGUGAAUACGUUCCCGGGCCUUGUACACACCGCCCGUCAAACCAUGAGAGUUGGCAACACCCGAAGUCGGUAGUCUAACCGCAAGGAGGACGCCGCCGAAGGUGGGGUUGAUGAUUAGGGUUAAGUCGUAACAAGGUAAC